UUUGGAUUCAGGCUCAGGAUGAACGCUGGCGGCGUGCUUAACACAUGCAAGUCGAACGGUGAACACGGAGCUUGCUCUGUGGGAUCAGUGGCGAACGGGUGAGUAACACGUGAGCAACCUGCCCCUGACUCUGGGAUAAGCGCUGGAAACGGCGUCUAAUACUGGAUACGAGUAGCGACCGCAUGGUCAGUUACUGGAAAGAUUUAUUGGUUGGGGAUGGGCUCGCGGCCUAUCAGCUUGUUGGUGAGGUAAUGGCUCACCAAGGCGUCGACGGGUAGCCGGCCUGAGAGGGUGACCGGCCACACUGGGACUGAGACACGGCCCAGACUCCUACGGGAGGCAGCAGUGGGGAAUAUUGCACAAUGGGCGCAAGCCUGAUGCAGCAACGCCGCGUGAGGGAUGACGGCCUUCGGGUUGUAAACCUCUUUUAGCAGGGAAGAAGCGAAAGUGACGGUACUGCAGAAAA
rnacentral:rRNA from 1 species